rnacentral:rRNA from 1 species
CUACGUGCCAGCAGCCGCGGUAAUACGGAAGGUCCAGGCGUUAUCCGGAUUUAUUGGGUUUAAAGGGAGCGUAGGCGGAUUGUUAAGUCAGCGGUUAAAGGGUGUGGCUCAACCAUGCAUUGCCGUUGAAACUGGCGAUCUUGAGUGCAGACAGGGAUGCCGGAAUUCGUGGUGUAGCGGUGAAAUGCUUAGAUAUCACGAAGAACUCCGAUCGCGAAGGCAGGUGUCCGGGCUGCAACUGACGCUGAGGCUCGAAAGUGUGGGUAUCAAACAGGAUUAGAUACCCUGGUAGUCCACACAGUAAACGAUGUAUACUCGCGGUUUGCGAUAGAUUGUAAGCCGCCAAGCGAAAGCAUUAAGUAUACCACCUGGGGAGUACGCCGGCAACGGUGAAACUCAAAGGAAUUGACGGGGGCCCGCACAAGCGGAGGAACAUGUGGUUUAAUUCGAUGAUACGCGAGGAACCUUACCCGGGCU